rnacentral:rRNA from 1 species
GGGGUUGAAGGACCAUGACAUGGCAAGAACGAGGAUAGGAGAACGGGAUCGAAAGCCCGGCCGAAGAAGGUGAAAGCCCUGUAACCGAAAUCCGAGUAAAGCCUAAUGGGAUCCUGAGUACGGCGAGACACGAGGAAUCUUGUCGGAAGCAGGCGGGACCAUCCGCCAAGGCUAAAUAUAAACGAGUGAGCGAUAGUGAACCAGUACCGUGAGGGAAAGGUGAAAAGAACCGCGGGAGCGGAGUGAAAGAGAACCUGAAACCGUAUGCCUACAAGAAGUCAGAGCCCGUUAAGGGGUGAUGGCGUGCCUUUUGUAGAAUGAACCGGCGAGUUGCGACAGACUGCGAGGUUAAGGAGGAAAGACCGGAGCCGAAGCGAAAGCGAGUCUUAAUAGGGCGAAAGUAGGAUGUUGCAGACCCGAAACCGGGUGAUCUAGCCAUGAGCAGGUUGAAGUUGAGGUGAAACUCAAUGGAGGACCGAACCGACUACCGUUGAAAAGUUAGCGGAUGACUUGUGGCUAGGGGAGAAAUUCCAAUCGAACCCGGAGAUAGCUGGUUCUCCCCGAAAUAGCUUUAGGGCUAGCGUCGGAAAGAACCUUAGUGAAGGUAGAGCACUGAAUGUGUGAUGGCCCCAUCCCGGGGUACUGAAUACAAUCAAACUGCGAAUGUCAUUAAGGAUGUCCGGCAGUCAGACUGUGAGUGAUAAGGUCCAUGGUCAAGAGGGAAACAGCCCAGACCGCCAGUUAAGGUCCCAAAAUACAGGCUAAGUGGAAAAGGAUGUGGGGAUGCCCAGACAACUAGGAGGUUGGCUCAGAAGCAGCCAUCCUUUAAAGAGUGCGUAACAGCUCACUAGUCGAGUGACCCUGCGCCGAAAAUGUACCGGGGCUAAGCCUGAUACCGAAACUGCGGAUUGUAGGAAACUAUAGUGGUAGGGGAGCGUUGUAUACGAGUAGAAGCCGUACCGUGAGGAGCGGUGGAUUGUAUAGAAGUGAGAAUGCCGGUGUGAGUAGCGAGAUGUAGGUGAGAAUCCUACACACCGAAAGCCCAAGGAUUCCAGGGGAAGGUUCGUCCGCCCUGGGUAAGUCGGGACCUAACGCGAGGCCGAAAGGCGUAGUGGAUGGAAAGCAGGCGAAAGAUUCCUGCACCCGUAUAUGGAGCGAAGGAGUGACGGAGACGGAUAGUGUGACCCUCUUAAUGGAUUGAGGGCGAAGCGAAGCGGCUGGUUACCAGGCAAAUCCGGUAACCAAAAGGCUAGAGCGUGACAGGUAAGCGAAAUCUUCGGAAAGUAGCGAAGCACAUGAUGACGGCUUCCAGGAAAAGCUUCUGGCAAUGCAUAUGCGGCCCGUACCAAAACCGACACAGGUGGGCAGGGAGAGAAUCCCGAGGUGAGCGAGAGAACUGUUGCCAAGGAACUCGGCAAAAUGACUCCGUAAGUUAGCGAGAAGGAGUGCUUAAGCAAUUAAGCCGCAGUGAAGAGGCCCAAGCGACUGUUUAACUAAAACACAGCUCUCUGCGAAGUCGCAAGACGAAGUAUAGGGGGUGACACCUGCCCGGUGCUGGAAGGUUAAGAGGAUCUGUUAAGAGCGAUCUGAAGCAGUGAUCCGAAGCCCCAGUGAACGGCGGCCGUAACUAUAACGGUCCUAAGGUAGCGAAAUUCCUUGUCAGGUAAGUUCUGACCCGCACGAAAGGUGUAACGAUUUGGGCGCUGUCUCGGCAGCAGACUCGGUGAAAUCUUAGUACCUGUGAAAAUGCAGGUUACCCGCAACUAGACGGAAAGACCCCAUGGAGCUUUACUGCAGCCUGAUAUUGAAUUCUGGUCAUACAUGUACAGGAUAGGUGGGAGACAAAGAGACGUGCACGCCAGUGUACGAGGAGUCGACGUUGGGAUACCACUCUUGUGUGACCGGGGUUCUAACCUGGUAUCGAGAACAGGUACGGGGAGAGUGUCAGGUGGGCAGUUUGACUGGGGCGGUCGCCUCCCAAAGAGUAACGGAGGCGCCCAAAGGUACGCUCAGAUUGGAUGGAAACCAAUCAUCGAGUGCAAUUGCAGAAGCGUGCUUGACUGUGAGACAGACAAGUCGAACAGGGACGAAAGUCGGGAAUAGUGAUCCGGCGGUGCCGAAUGGAAGGGCCGUCGCUCAACGGAUAAAAGCUACCCUGGGGAUAACAGGCUGAUCUCGCCCAAGAGUUCACAUCGACGGCGAGGUUUGGCACCUCGAUGUCGGCUCAUCGCAUCCUGGAGCUGGAUUCGGUUCCAAGGGUUGGGCUGUCCGCCCAUUAAAGCGGUACGCGAGCUGGGUUCAGAACGUCGUGAGACAGUUCGGUC